GAUGGGCUUCUCUCUCUGAUGUUUGUCAAAAUCUUAGGUGGUGUUAGCUCUACACUAAAUAUGACAUUCUCUUAUCUUCCAUCUACUAUGGACAGAUCCAGGAGGUGCUAACUAUCCUACCACAAUUGGCAAGAGGUGGGAGUACAGGUUCUUUUUAACUGCAUUGCAGGACCAGACUCUGAAGACAGCUGCUUAGAUCUAACAGCGAUUUCUUUCAGUAACAAUCAAGUAGGAGAAGAGCCACAUUUGCUUAGGCCUGCAAGUCAGUGGAGGAGGACUUAAACUACAGCACCCUGCAGCAGACACAUUUUGGAACUUCAGCUAUUUAUGUAAGAAGCUCUUGAAAUCAGCUUUUCUGAAAAGUGGCACCUUAGAUUUACAGAAGUAAGCCCAGAAUGCAAACGGUUUUAACCAUUCUUCAGUAGCUACCAUACUGACAUCCAAAACUCUGUUUAUGAUAAGCUAUGUUGAUCCUUAAAGCUGUGCUUUAUAGAUAAAUAUUUUGAAAGGA
ensembl:lncRNA novel transcript